rnacentral:rRNA from 1 species
GAUGAACGCUGGCGGCGUGCCUAACACAUGCAAGUCGAACGAAGAUUGCCGGAUGUUUUCUUCGGCAUGAAACCAGAUAUGACUUAGUGGCGGACGGGAGCGUACCCCGUGAGCAACCUGCCUUUCAGAGAGGGAUAACGGCUGGAAACGGUCGCUACUACCGCCUGAUGUGUUCGGGUGGCAUUAUCUGAACAUCAAAGAUUGAUCGCUGAAAGAUGGGCUCGCGUUUGAUAAGAUAGUUGGAGGGGUAACGGCCUAACAAGUCUACGAUCAGUAGCCGGAGUGAGGGGGUGCGCGGACACAUUGGGACUGAGAUGCCGCCCAGUCUCCUGCGGGAGGCAGGAGUGGGGUAUAGUGCACAGUGGGGAAGACUCUGGUGCCGCAACGGCGCGUGGAGGAUGACGGUUUGCGGAGUGUAACCUUCUUGUCUGUGAGACGGAGACAGUGACGGUAGCUAAGGAAUAAGCACCGGCUAACUACGUG